AGUGAACGCUGGCGGCGUGCCUAAUACAUGCAAGUCGAACGGCGUGGCGCACGGGUGAGUAAUAUAUAGCUAAUCUGCCCCUUGCUGGAGGACAACAGUUAGAAAUGACUGCUAAUACCCCAUAGCAAGGGAUGAGACUAUAUCGUAUCAGCUAGUCGGUGGGGUAACGGCCGACCGAGGCUAUGACGCGUCACUGGUCUGAGAGGAUGAGCAGUCACAUGGGAACUGAGACACGGUCCGAACUCCUACGGGAGGGAGCAGUAGGGAGUAUUACGCAAUGGGGGAGACCCAGACGCGGCAACGGCGUGUGGAGGAUGACACUUGUCGGGGCGUGAACUGCUUUUGAUAGGGAAGCGGUACCUAACGAAUAAGCACCGGCUAACUCCGUGCCAGCAGCCGCGGUAAUUC
rnacentral:rRNA from 1 species